ensembl:lncRNA
UUCAUGGCCAGGAGACUAGUCCUGAGGACAACCUGGUGUCAGAAGAAGAGGAGAGAGAGGUGGAGGGAGAGGUGGAAGGAGAUUUGGGGAGAGCGGUGGAGGAAGAUGUGGAGGUGGAGGGAGAGAUGGAGGGAGAAGAGGAGAGAGAGGUGGAAGGAGAUUUGGGGAGAGCGGUGGAGGAAGAGGUGGGGGUGGAGGGAGAGAUGGAGGAAGAAGAGGAGAGAGAGGUGGAGGGAGAGGUGGAGGAAGAAGAGGAGAGAGAGGUGGAGGGAGAUUUGGAGGUGGAGGGAGAGAUGGAGGAAGAAGAGGAGAGAGAGGUGGAGGGAGAAUUGGAGGUGGAGGGAGAGAUGGAGGAAGAAGAGGAGAGAGAGGUGGAGGGAGAUUUGGAGGUGGAGGGAGAGAUGGAGGAAGAAGAGGAGAGAGAGGUGGAGGGAGAAUUGGAGGUGGAGGGAGAGAUGGAGGAAGAAGAGGAGAGAGAGGUGGAUGGAGAGGUGGAAGGAGAAGAGCAGGAAGCGAUAGAAACAAUGGUGGAGGGAGAGAUGGAGGGAGACAUGGAGGGAGAGAUAGAGGAGGAAGUGGAGGGAGAGAAGGAGGAGGAAGUGGAGGGAGAGAUGGAGGGAGAAGUGGAGGGAGAAUCAGAGAGAGAGUUGGAGGAAGAAGAGCAGGAAGCGAUAGAAACAAAUGUGGGGGGAGAAAUGGAAGACAUGGAGAGCGAGGUGGAAAAAGAGAUGAAGGGAGAGGUGGAGUCUUCUGAGGAACCAGAGGAGAAUACCUCUGUGGUACAGAGUGAAACAUUAGAAGAGUCAGCUCCAGAUAGAGAGGACACUGAGGUGGUUGUGGAGACCGAGACAGAAGGAUGGAGUGAAGCACUAGACUCUGAGAACAAUAUACAUGGCCAGGUCCCAACAGCAGUUACUCCAUAUGUAGAAGCAACUGGUGAGGUAAAGCUAUCUGCGGAAAAGAUGACAGAAAGUCUGGUCACCUCUCAAAUUGCUGACGAAGAAGAAACAGAGGACAGUGAGAAUGUAGCAGAUGAGGUGGAGUAUGGAGGCUCGGUUGCUGUGGAGAGAGUAAAGAAAGUAGAGGCUUCGUCAACCACAAAGUCAGUAGGCCAAGCGGAGUCAGAGAAAGAAGUACCUCUACUUGUUUCCACAGACUGGGUGGCAGAAACACAGAGGUUACAUUCCAGUUCACUGUAUGAAUUUGAAUCAAGUCCACAGCUUGUUGAGUCUAGUUCAUAUGUUGUGCAGACUGAGUCUCUGGGCUAUGAGCAAGAGCAGGGUUCUGAUUUGCCAUAUCUGGGUGACCGCUCAGUAUUCCAGAAUCUAGAGGACGUGAACAACCUUAGUGUGGCAUCAGAGGAAGAGGAAAGUCACCUGGUCACAGAGGUUUCCUCAAAGGGGAAGGUGGCAACAGAGUCAGCUUGCACCACGCAGGCAGAGGGCGAGUCAGGAAGUCAGUGUCAGGUCCAGGCUGAAGGGACAGGUGAGAUAACAAACAAGGCUACAAUCGAGGUAGUAAGUCAGGAUUUAGGCAAGGCUUUGACAGGCGAGCUGGACAUAUGUGGGGCAACAGGUCAGAUAGCUGCAGGUCAUGGCCAGGCUGUUUUUGAAGUUGCAGGUGAGACUGAAGAUGAGGCCACACAGGCUUCGGGUGAGUUGGAACAAGUCCCAAAGUCCUUUGCUUCAUCUUUACGUAGGAAACUCAGGAAGGGCUCCAAAAAAGAACCCACUCCCAAGAGUCCCACACUGAAGUGCAAACAACAAUGAGAGCUGCACAUUCAGACAUAAGGUGUUUUUGUAUAUAUAUGUUUUUCUGUUCAUUGGUUUUUUAUGGAUUUGUUCAGCUUUACAUGUUUGUAUUAAUAAGUUAGAGGUUUGUCAAUCGUGAUUUAACUUUUUUGUGGUAUGUGGUCUUAAUUCAGCCAUAGCUCUCGAACACACCUACAGCGUCAUUGCAUUUUGAUACAGUGCAAUUAAUUGUCAUGCAGCAUUUCGUUGCAGAGGGUUCUGAAUGCAUCAAAUAUGAAGCGGAAUAGGCUGGGCGGAAUCGGUCAGCGGUUGUAUGUUGGGUUUUUGAAACACACAUACCCAGAUGAUGCAUACAUGUGUGGAUGUAGGUGUGAUCCGGGCAUUAAUACAAAGCAAAUGGGUGUUGGCUAUAUUAAAAUAAUAAACUAUAUUUGAUUUAGAAAUGUUAGAGGUUUGGUUCCUUGCUAAUUAAUAAUGGUCAGUGCUCUUUGUAGUCAUUCUAGCUAUGUGAUGAUGUGUCCCAAACUUUUUAUUUUUUCCUUAUAGUGGACUAGGAAUACUUUCUUGUCAAAUGUAGGGUGGUUAAAGUGUCCUCAUGGUUAAGGCAUAAUUUUUUACUUAUGUGAUUGGGCAAUGGCAGGACGGAGGUGGGGCUGGUUUCUGAGACAGCGGGUCCCUUUGUGUAGCAUGUCCAUACCCGUCACCAUCUCUGGUAGCUAUCAGGCAAGAGGGUCCAAGACUAUAGCUAAUGACAACCUGUGAAGCUAGUGUCUACAAUCUAGCUUGCUAGCCCGUUAGCAACAGAGCAGUAACGGUCUGGCGAGUGUGUCCAGUUGUUCCUCAGAAGCAAACAUUUCUGUGCAUGAAAUGCAAGCGCUAGAGCUUGAACUGCUUUUACUGCGAAAGAGGUGAAGAACAACAAAAAAACAACUGAGAAGAUAGGACGUUCAUCUCUUGUCCUGCCUAUGCGAACAGGAAAAACAUUCAAAAUGUUUCCAGAUCUGCUGCAGAAAGAAGCAAAGCUAGCACAAAGCUUGGAUUCUCAAUAAUUACUGCAAUCAUCACGGAGGUGUGCAGCUGGCAUGUCCUGAAGUAGGAGUUUGUUGACUGUACCUUAAUUGAAAAACAGGACAAAAUUUGGGAGAGUUUGUGGAAGACGAGGCACUCCCUCUGACAGUAAACCUGAUGCAACCAUAUGCAGGUAAGAUAUGCAAAAUGUCUCAAGUGACUGCACACACAUAUUAUGUAAAAGAUUACAUCAAAAUAAACAUUGUAGUAAGUUGCCUCACAUAGGUGAUCAGGUCCUAAGUAUACAGUUAAUACAGACCCAAUCCCAAAUCAAACAUAUGUAGGAUACUGAGUGGAUUUCACAGGUGUCCGCAAUAUGCUAAU